rnacentral:rRNA from 1 species
AAACAUGUCUUUUUGAAUAUAAUUUAAAGUCGAAUCUGCUCCAUGAAAGAAAUUUUAAAUAGCUGCAGGUAACUGUACAAAGGUAGCAUAAUCAAUAGUUUUUUAAUUAGAAGCUGGAAUGAACGAUUUGAUAAGGUAAAUAUUGUCUCAAUUUUAAUAAUAUUAAAAUUUUUUUUCUUGUAAAAAUACUAGAAUGAAUUUAAAAGACGAGAAGACCCUAUAGAUUUUUAUAAAUUUUUAAUUGAAGUUAUUAUAAAUUAUUAAUUUAAAAAUCAAUUAAACCUUUAUUUGAUUGGGGUAAUUAUUAAAUUAAUGAAACUUUAAUUUUAAUUAAACAAAAAUUAUUGAUUAUUUGGCCCUUUUUUUGGAUUACGAGAUUAAAAUACCUUAGGGAUAACAGCGUUAUUUUUUUGGAGAGUCCUAAUCGAUAAAAAAGUUUGCGACCUCGAUGUUGAAUUAAGAUAAAAUUUUGGUGUAGAAACUAAAAAUUUUUGGUCUGUUCGACCAUUAAAAUCUUACGUGAUCUGA